GAGUGUGUGGGGCCAGGUUUCCCAGAAGGGGCCAUGGGGCAGAUGGAUCCUGUCAGAACCAGCUACAGAGAGACCUGGACUUCCCCAAAGUGAGCUCUUCCACCUGUGGACCCCACCUCUGAGGGCUGGGCUGGCUCCGGACACGGGCGACAGGACCUGUCCCUGCACCAGUGACCUCGGCUGGCUCCACAGCCCCCUCUCCAUCUCUGUGCACGCAGUCUGCCUCUCCCAGGUUGUGUGGAGAGGACGGAGGGAGAUCGGGGAGAGUGGACUUUGCUGUGGUGGUUUGUUGAGGUCCAGCAACUGCUCAGGUGUGGGUGUAGAUGGUUGAGCAACAGACAGUCCUGCCUUCCUGAUUCUCCAUAAAGAUACGGAAUUUGGGAACGAAGAAGGCAAAACCAACUCAGACCCAGAAAACAUUAAAAAAAUUGCCGCUCAAAAAACCACAAAUUGGCUCAGGCACCCAAAACAAUGACAGAAAGCCAGAAUUGGGGCAAGCCAACAACUGUGCUCUGAUUGAAAAAGACCAUUCCUCCUGUGCUCUGAACUCCAUAUUCCAGCCUCAAAACCAAAGCUCACAUCAGAAAAUUCAUUACAACCAUGAUAAAUAAGAAAAAUGAGAAAAAAUCCAAAGAAAUCUAAGAGUCCAUAGUGAUAUUGGGCUUGAUUUAGUCCCAAGGAAUCCGGCUUUUUCCAGAUUCAUCCACCCCUCCCAGCAGACUGGGGGCUGAAUGAAUUCACCUGAAAUUGCAGUCAAACUCGGUUUGGAGACAAUUAAUAUAUGUCCCCUCAGCAAAAGGAUUCCAUUUCUCUUUCCAAAACACAAAAACUCAUCUUGGUCAUGUUGGGUGUAGAUUUCCAGCCUGAAAGGACAAUUUGAUGUGUUUUUUUAUUUCAUAAUGGCUACUCUGCCAAACGCUAGAUUGUAUUGUUUCAGAAUACUAAAUUUGGGAAGGAAGAAGGCAAAAGCAACUCAGACCCAGAAAACAUUUAGAAAAUUGCAGCUCAAGAGAACAAAAUUUGGUUGAGGCAUCCAAAACAAUGACAGAAAACCAGAAUUGGAGCAAGCCAACAGCUGUGCCCUGAUUGAAAAAGACCAUUCCUCCCAUGCUCUGAACUCCAUAUUGCAGCCUCAAAACCAAAGCUCACAUCAGAAAAUUCAUUACAACCAUGAUAAAUAAGAAAAAUGUGAAAAAAAGCCAAAGAAAUGCAAGAGUCCUUAGUCACAUUGGGCUUGAUUUAGUCACUAGGAAACCUGCUGUUUCCGGAUUCAUCCACCCCUCCCAGCUGUCUGGCUGUGGAAAACUCAUUGAAUUCACCUGAAAAGACAGAAUGUUUAUAAGUAUAUUGGGCCUGUGGAACCUGUCAUUUACCAAUCACAUGUUAGACUGAAUCAUAGACCAAAUAUAGGGAAGAAAUCCAAUGCAUGUAAACCUUGUGGGAAGUCAUUCAGUAUUAAAUUCUGCCAUACACUCCAUCACAGCACUCAUAUAGUGGGAAACCCUCAUGUGUGUAAUGAUUUUGGAGAAACCAAUCAGCAGAAGUCAGAUCUCAUUAGACAUCAGAGAAGUCACUCAGGGGAGACACCUUAUGAAUGCAAUGACUGUGGAAAAACCUUUGGCCAGAAGUCCAACCUCAUAAAUCAUCAGAGAAGUCACAUGGAGAUAAGCGUUUAUGAGUGCAAUGACUAUGGAAAACUCUUUGGCCAGAAGCCAAAAUCACCUCAUAAAUCAUCAGAGAAUUCACACAAGGGAUACACCUUAUGAAUGCAAUGACUGUGGAGAAACCUUUGGCCAGAAGCAAACCUCAUAAAUCAUCAGAGCAUUCACACAGGGGAGAAACCUUUUGAAUGCAAUGACUGUGGGAAAACCUUAGGCCAGAAUUCAAACCUCAGAAAGCAUCAGAGAAUUCACACAGUGGAUAAUAGUUAUGAAUGCAAUGCCUGUGGAAAAGCCUUUGGCCAGAAGCCACACCUCAUAAAUCAUCAGAGAAUUCACACAGGGAAUCCGCCUUAUGAUUGCAAUGACUGUGGAAAAACCUUUGGCCAGAAUUCAUGCCUCAAAAAUCAUCAGAGAAUUCACACAGGGGAGAAACCUUAUGAAUGCAAUCAUUGUGGAAAAGCCUUUGGCCAGAUCAACACUCACAAAUCAUCAGAGAAGUCACACAGGGGAUAUGCCUUAUGAAUGCAGUGACUGUGGAAAAACGUUUGGCCAGAAGUCAAACCUCAGAAAGCAUCAGAGAAUUCACACAGGGGAUAAGCGUUAUGAAUGCAAUGCCUGCGGAAAAACCUUUGGCCAGAAAUCACAACUCAAAAUGCAUCAGAGAAUUCACACAGGGGAGAAACCUUAUGAAUGAAAUCAUUGUGGAAAAGCCUUUGCUGAGAAGUCAGAGCUCACAAAGCAUCAGACAAUUUGUACUGGGGGGAAACCUUAUGAAUGCAAUGACUGUGGAAAAACCUUUGCUGAGAAGUCAAACCUCAGAAAGUAUCAGAGACUUCGCACCAUGGAGAAAGCUUAUAAAUGAAAUGACUGUGGAAAAGCCUUUGGUCCCAUCCUUGCAUACCCGGGAUAAAUCCCACUUGGUCUGGGUGGAUGAUCUUUCUGAUGCAUUGUUGGAUUCAAUUGGCCAGAAUUUUGUUGCAGAUCUUUGCAUAUUUAGAGACAAAGGAUUCCUGCCCAUUGAUUUACUACUAUAUGCCCACAAUUGCCAUGGUAAGGUCUAUGGCAAAAACUGAGUGCUGAGGGCUGUGAAUCUGAUUCAUCACUGAUAACACUGAAGACAUUGGUUCCUGGUUCUUAUGCUGCUAUGCAUGGAAAUGUUUUUCUAAUUUCAUUUUCAAGUAGUUCAUUGUUAAUAUAAAGAAAUGCUUCUAAUUUUAAAAUUUCAUUUAAAUAAUUUGUGAUUAAUGUGUACUAGUCAUGCAUUAUUACAGGGUGUAGUGCAAUAUUUGCACACAUUUAUGCAGUAAAAACUGAUCAAGCUAAGAAACUAUAGUUUUAUUAAUUUUUUAAAGAUUUAUUUAUUUGAAAGAGAGUUACAGAGAGAAGUAGCAGCAGAGAGAGAGAGAGGUCUUCCUCUGCUGGUUCACUCCCCAGAUGGCCGCAAUGGCUGGAGCUCUGCCAAUCUGAUGCCAGGAACCAGGAGCUUCUUCCAGGUCUCCCACUUGGGUGUAGGGACCCAAGGACUUGGGCCAUCUUCUACUGCUUUCCCAGGCCAUAGCAGAGAGUUGGAUCAGAAGAGGAGUAGCCAGGACUAGAACUGGUACCCACAUGGGAUGCUGGUGCUUCAGGCCAGGGCGUUAGCCCACUGUGCCACAAUGCUGGCCCCCAAGCAACUACAGUUUCUAAUUCUUCUCCAUGAUUUGAGACUAUCAUCUCCUCUCCUUCAGUUCUUUACACAGAACCUAAUAUGGUUGAAUGUAGUCAUCUCAUUAUAUUAUGGAACGCCAGAAGUUCUUUCUGCCUCUUUGUAUUUUGUUACCUAUUAUCUAAUCCCCCUCUAUCCCUAGCUGCUUCCCUUCUCAGCCUCUAACAACCACAGUUCUCUGUUCAGAUCCAUUAUUUUCUUUCACUUCCACAUGUGACAAGGGCCAGGUGACAUUUGUGAUCCUGCUUCUGACUUAUUUCAAUUAAUUUAAUAAUAUUUUUGUUCUUUUUUGUAUCUAAAUGAAGUUCCCCUGUCCGUUUUUUUCAUUGAUCGACAGCUAGAUUGGUUUCAAAUCCUGGCUGCAGUGAACUGUGUUAUAGUGGCUGUGUUAUGGGAAAAUUGCUGUAUCUUUGAUAUGCUCUUCUCCUUUCCUUCUAAUAAAAUUUCCUUAUUCUAUAUAGCCAAGAGCAAGAUAACUCUCAAAUGGUAGGUCAAUUUUUAUCUUUAUUUUAAAUUUUUGUUAUUUAUUUCAAAGAGUUACAAUAGAGGUAGGGACACAGAGAGGUCCUCCAUUAGCUGGUUCAUUCUACAGAUGACUACAAAGGUCAUAGCUAUACCAUUCUGAAGCAUCUGGGUCUCCCACAUGUGUGCAUGGGCCCAAGGACUUGGGCCAUCUUCUACUGCUAUCCCAGGAGAUAGCAGAGAGCUGGAUUGGAAGAACAGCAGCUGGAACUAGAACUGGCACCCAAAUGGGAUGCUGGCCCUUCAGGCCAGGCCUUUAACUCACUGCACAACAGCGCAGGCCCCAAUUUUUAUCCUUUUUAAGGCAUGACCAUACUGUUCUGCAUAACAUCUGUACUAAUUUGUGUUUUCACCCACCAUAUAUGAAGGUUUUCUUUUCCCAUAUGCUCUCUAGAUUUUGUUAUUUUUUAUCAUUUUGGCAUAAAGAUGAUAUAGUAUUGUUCAUGUUUUUGUGUAUUUUGAAAUCAGUUAAUUUGUUUAUUAAAUCUUUGUUGAUUUGAAAGGUGGAUUUAGAGAGAGAGGGAAAGACAGAGAAAGCUUUCAUCUGCUGACUGACACCCCAGUGCGUUUCAACAGUUGAACCUGGGGCAUGCUGCAGUCAGGAGCUUCAUCCAAGUCUCCCACGUGAGUGGCAAGGACCCAAGUCCUUUGUCCAUCUUCUGCUGGUUUCCCAGGUGUUUAGCAGUGAGCUAAAUUGGAAGUGGAGAUUCCUAAACUCAAAGUGGAAUUCACAUGAUAUGCUGGCCUCACAGAUUGCAGCUUACCCCACUUAGCCACAAUGCCAGCCCCUCUAUCAAUUUAAUUCCUCAAAAAUAGAUCAGUAAUGUUGGCAUCUAUCUCAUUUUGUUUUUCUCUGUUAUUAUUCAACUUAUUGAUGUCUUAUUUUUGCUCACAUUAUUCCUCUCAAUUGCCCUACCUGAGGUGAUUAGGGCUGCUGUGUUGCUUAAAUGCAGUAUAUGCUUUAGAUUACUCAUUUACUAAGUGCAUGGCAUUCACAUAGCACUUCACUCAAGUUCUACUAUGUCCCAAAUCCUCUUCUAGGCACAGAAUUCAGACCACUUUUCUCUUAGGCUUAGAUCUUGCCUUUAACAUACUACUUGGAAUUUAGUAGCUCAUGAAAUCUACAGACUGCAUAAAUGAAUGAAUAUUUUGAGGGCUGUGUUUUUGUGGAGGAACUUCAUAGGAGACCGAAGGAAUAAAAUAAAUCAAAAGUAUCCACAGUAUAUAGAAUGUAUACUAUUUUACAAGUCACAGAGAAGAGGAAGAAGAAGGAAAGUAGUGAGACUAGAAAGUUUGUGGGAAGACAAACAGGCGCUGGUCAAGAACUUAAUAAGCCCAUUAGGAAAGCAGUAAGGUUUCUUUACCUCCCUGUAGACUCUGCUCUCCAGAGGUGAACAGGGUCCUCUAAACGCACUUGCUGCACACACAAACACCUGAGUGUUGUAUUCUCCCACAGGUGUUGGAGACUGAUAUGGUGUUCUGAUUUAUAUUUACAUAAUGGCUAGUGACAUCGGGCAUAUUCACAUGUUUUGAGCAUUUACAUUUAUUCUCAGAAAUGUCUAUUCAGAUCCUUGCCUGUUUCUUCACUGUAUCUUUUGGAGUUUUUCCAAUUCAUGUAAAUGUUCUGGAAAUCUGUAAACAUUCAGAGUUUUAAUUUUUCCUGACAUCUAUUCAUUGUAUCUACACUUUGAUGCUUACUUUGUUGUGAAGAAGUAUCUUAGUUUGAUAUACUCAAAUGUCUCUGUUUCUAUUUUUGUGACUAUUGCUAUUGGAAUCUUACCAAAAGCUAUUGUCUGUUGACAAUAUUUAGAGUUUCCCUAUGUUUACUUGGGUUUGGGUCUUAUUAGAUUUUUAAUUGACUGUGAGUUCACUUUCACAUAGUGUAAGAGAUGUCAGAGUCUAUUUUCAGGCUUCUACAUAUGGAUAAUCAAGUUCCUCUGCACCACUUGCGAAAGAGAUUUUUCUUUCUCCAGUUCAUUUUAGUUCCUUUGUUAAAUAUGAGUUGCUGGUAGAAAUUUGGGUUUAUUUCUAUGAUACCUACUCUUUUCCAUUGAACUAUGUGUCUGUUAUGUCAGUACUAACACUUCUUCUUCUUCUUCUUUUUUUUUUUUGCAGUUUAUUUAUUUAUUUGAAAGACAGAGUCACAGAGAGGUAGAGGCAGAGAGAGAGAGGUCUUCCCUCCACUGGCUUACUCCCCAAAUGGCCACAAUGGCCAGAGCUGUGUUGAUCUGAAUCCAAGUGUCAGGAGCUUCUUCCAGGUCUCUAUGCAGGUGCAGGGGCCCAAAGACUUUGGCCAUUUUCUACUUUUUUCUCAGGCUAUACUAGAGUGGGGUAUAAGAAGUGGAGCAUCUGGGAAACAUACUGGCACCCAUAUGAGAUGCCGGCACUGCAGAACGGUGACUUUACCUGCUUUGUCAUAGUGCUGACCCCUGUAAUAUGUCUUAAAAUAUGGUGUGAUAUCUCCAGCUUUUUUUUGCUUUAUAAUAUUGCUUUAGAUGUUAAGCAUCUCUCAUGUUUCUAUAUGAAUUUUAGCAUCAUUUUUCUAGCUCUGAGAAGAAUAUCGUUGGUAUGUUGAUUGGGAUUGAAUUGAAUUUGCAAAUUGCUUUUGGUAGUAUGGACAUUUUGAUAUUAUUCUUCCCAUUCACAAACAUAAGUUUUCUGUGAGACUGUCAAAAAGCCUUGACAAAAAUUGGACUUUAUUACACAAAAAUUCAUCACUUUUUGGGAUCAUUUAAAUCCAUAUUUUUGCACUAAUAUUUGAUAAAUAAUGAAAGACUUUCUCUGAGCAUUUUAGUAGGAGAAAUUAAAAUAUUUAUUUUAUCAAUUUCUUCAAAUAUUGUUUAGAUGUGAUAUUCAAAUAUUGUUUAGAGCCAUUGUCUGUAUUCCCUCUAAAUUAGGAUCUUUUUGCUUUUUCCUGUAAAACUUCUCCCUUGAUUCAACAACCCUUUUUAAUGUAAUGUAAACUGAAAAUGUCAUUUCAUAAGCUAAAAAAAUGACAAAGAAGGAAAAAGAAGGGAGGGAGGUUGAGUAUAUAAUUAUGUUCUCUGAAUUUUUUCUAUAAACUGUAUUGAAUCUUUUAAAAGCUAAUUAAAAUUAAAACUCAAAAUUGGACCAUUAUGACCAAUAUUUAAAACAAGUGAUUAAAAACUGUAGAUGUCUUCAAUUUUGAUUAUCAUUCUUAUUUAGAAUGUCUGAAAAAAUCCAGAUUCUCACUUUAAAAUAUACCAGUGUGUUAGAAUUCAGUAUUAAAUGACUUUGUUUAAAAGUGUUAUUUAAUCUAUUGCUUUAAGUGGUAAUACUAUGGCCAUUGUAAAACAAAAUCCUUAUCAUUUUUCAUAAAACAGAAAGGGCCUUUAAAACAUCAUCACUAAAAAUAUUAAGAGACCUAAAAUAUAACAUUCUUAAAACCCAAGUGAUACCAUUCAAAAUUUUCAAAUAUGCAGGGAUAGUUCGUGUGAAAUAACUAAAUAAUUGUUAAGUGUAUAUAUGGAAUAGCUUCUAUAAAUACUUUUGGCAAGGGCUGGCACUGUGGCAUAGUGGGUGAGGCUGCCACCUGCAGUGCUGGUAUUCCAUAGGGGUAUCAGUUCAAGACCUGGCUGCUCCACUUCCUAUCCAGCUCUCUGCUACGGCCUGGGAAAGCACUAUAAAAUGGUCCAAGUCCUUGGGCCCCUGCACCUGCAUAGGAGACCAGGAAGAGGCUCCUGGCUCCUGCCUUCCAGUCGGCACAGCUCCAGCCAUGGAGGCCAACUGUGGAGUGAACCAGUGAAUGGAAGACCACUCUCUCUGCCUCUCCUUCUCUCUGUGUGUAAUUCUGACUUUCAAAUAAUAUAAAUAAAUCUUUAAAAAUUCUUUUGGCAAAUAGAUGAAGCUAUUUGUUAUACAUUUCAAAUAAAUAACAAAUAUACUAGAAAAAUAUAUUGAAUAAAAUUUAAGCAACUCAUAGCUAUACACAGAAAUUUCUCACCAUAACAACAUAGCAACCACUAAAUUUCCAAACUUAAUUUUCCACAACUUGGAAUCUUUAACUCCAGAAGGAGUACGAAAUUGACAGAACAGUAGCCUAUGUAUCAGGAUACCUAAUGCUAAUACAGAAUUAUCCCUGCUACAACUUACCUAUGUGACCUUCAACAAUUCACUUUACUUCUUUGGGCCUUGGCAUUUAGCAUCCUCACGUGUUAAAGGAGGCUUGGAUAAGAUCAGUUGUACUCUAUCUUGAGACUUCAAGGAUAUCUCAGUUUCCAAACAGGCACCUUAAGGGAAAGUAAACCUUUAGAUCAAAGCUUACAUUUUUAAAUAUAAAUAGAUUUUAAACUGUUUCUACAACUAGUACAAAACAACACAUUCAAAUGUGUACCAUGCCACUUUUCAAUAUUUGGGAAUAAUUAAUGCAUCAUUUUAGAGCAUUGUCUUGAGGCCAGUGCUGUGGUGUAGCCAGUAAAGCCACUGCAUGCAGUGUGGGCAUCCCAUAUGGAGGACUGUUCAAGUCCUGGCUGCUCCACUUUCCAUCCAGAUCUCUGCUCUAGCCUGGGAGAGCAGUAGGAAGUUGGCCCAAGUCCUUGGGCCCCUGAAUCUGCAUGGGAGACCCUGAAGAGGUCCUGGAUCCUGGCUUCCGAUUGGCAUAUCUCUGACCUUUUAGGCCAUCUGGGGAGUGGACCAGCAGAUGGAGGACCUCUCUCUCUCUCUCUUCCUCUUGUUCACUAUCUGUGUAACUCUGACUUCCAAAUAAAUAAAUAAGUCUUCUAAAAUAUCAAAAGAAUAUUGUCUUGCACACAGUGAGCCACUAAGUACAAGAUAUUAUUAGUAAUAUUAGAUUGAAAUAUUGAAAUAAACUAGGCAAUAAGCCUUAAGAUGCAAAUUAAUACCAGGAAAUAUAAUCUCAAAUUUCUGUGUUCAACAAGGUAGUCUCUUUUUCACUACUAACUUUAUACUGAAUAAGAUAUUUUGAUAUUUUGUUAAGAGUAAAUUUAUCAGGGGCCAGCACCAUGGCUCACGUGGUUAAUUCUCCAUCUGUGGUGCUGGUAUCCUAUAUGGGCAAAGGGUUCUAGUCCUGGUUGCUCCUCUUUCAGUCCAGCUCUCUGCUAUGGCCCGGGAAGGCAGUGGAGGAUGGCCCAAGUGCUUGGGCCCUGCACCCACAUGGGAGACCAGGAGAAAGCACCUGACUCCUGGCUUCAGAUGGGCACAGCUCCAACUGUGGAAGGAAGACCUUUCUGUCUUUCUCACUGUCUAUAACUCUACCUGUCAAAAAAAAGUAUUAGUUUUUCAUAAAAACUGCAGUAUUGAAAAGGUUCUAAAAUCCCUCUAAUUCUAAAUGUCUGUGACUGCUAACUCAUUAGCACAUAUUGCAUUCUUUACAUCUGGGUAAUCAUGAUAAUUCAUUUUUAAAUGAUUAACAAAUCUGUUGUUAUAUAUAAAUACAUGCUUUUCCGAAAAUCAUACAAUAAGCAGGCUACAUACUUUACUUCAAGUAAAACUGCCAUAUCCAGUCCUACAAUUGUAAAUAAGACAGUUUCAAUUGUUCAGCAUUAUCAAUUAUAAAUUCCAAUAGCGUAGCAAUAGCCAUGAGAAUAAAGGGGCCGAUGCUGUGGCGUACCAAGUAAAGCUGUGACUUGCAGUGCUGACAUCCCACAUGGGUGCCAGUUGAAGUCCUGGCUACUCAAAUUACUAUCCAGCUUUUUAGGCAAGUAAGACUAACUAUCCAGCAGUAGAGGAUGGCCCAGGCCCUUGGGCUUCUGCACCUGCAUAGGAGACCCAAAAGAAGCUGCUAGCUCCGGGCUUUGAAUCGGCACAGCUCCAGCCAUUGUGGCCAAAUGGGGAGUGAACCAGUGGUUCAAAGACUGCUCUCUCUCUCUCUCUCCUUCUCUGUGUGUGUAACUCUGACUUUCAAGUAAAAUAAAUGAAUCUUUUUAAAAAAGGAUGAAAUAAAAAGGAAUAUGAAUAUUAUAAAAUUGUUUAACAUUUAUUUAAUAAAUAUAAAUUUCCAAAGUACAGCUUUUGGAUUACAGUGGCUUCCCCUACCACCUAACUUCCCUCCCACCCAUAACCCUCCUAUUUC